rnacentral:rRNA from 1 species
ACCUGACUGCUAUCGGAUUGGUACUAACCCAUGCGAGUCAUUGUAGCAAUACCAGGCGGACGGCUCAGUAACACGUAGUCAACCUAACUCGUGGACGUGGAUAACCUCGGGAAACUGAGAAUAAACCACGAUGGAUCAUAGUGCCUGGAAUGGCUUAUGGUCCAAACAGUUUACUGCCAUGGGAUGGGACUGCCGCCUAUCAGCUUGUUGGUGAGGUAAUGGCCCACCAAGGCGAUUACAGGUACGGGCUCUGAAAGGAAAAACCCGGAGAUGGGUACUGAGACACGGACCCCGGCCCUAUGGGGCGCAGCAGGCGAAAAACCUUAGCAAUGUGCGAAAGCACGACUGGGUCAGUCCGAGUGAUUCCUGAUAAAGGAGUCUUUUGCCUGUCCUAAAAGCACAGGUGAAUAAGGGGUGGGCAAGUCUGGUGUCAGCCGCCGCGGUAAUACCAGCACCUCGAGUGGUCAGGACGUUUAUUGGGCCUAAAGCAUCCCUAUCCGGCUCUGCAAGUCUUCGGUUAAAUCCACCUGCUCAACAGAUGGGCCGCUGGAUAUACUACAGAGCUAGGGAGUGGGAGAGGCAGACGGUAUUCAGUGGGUAGGGGUAAAAUCCUCUGAUCCAUUGAAGACCACCAGUGGCGAAGGCGGUCUGCCAGAACACGUUCGACGGUGAGGAUGAACGCUGGCGGAGCAACCGGAUGAUAUACCCGGGUAGUCCCAGCUGUAACGAUGCAACUCGUGAUGCAUUGGCUUAUGGGCGAUGCAUGGCGCAGGAAUCCGUUAAUUU